UCCUGUAUUGAAGUGAUUAUGCUGUGUCUGUUUCCAGGUCAUUGAUAAUGCAGGAAAAUCAACAUGAAAUUUUUCUUGUAUUGGGAGGACUUUGUGUUCUUUUCAAACGCCGGUGCUCUGAGACA
rnacentral:snoRNA from 1 species